UUUCGCUCCUUGGAUGCAUCUCUGGAAAAACCAGCUGGGCCACAAUGCAGCAGUGUGCGGCUCAGCGUGGAGGGCAGGGCUGGGCUGGAGCACGGGGAGCUCACUGCGUCCCUGCCUGAGGCUCUGGCUCAGCACACAGCCAAAGCCCCUGGUACCCUGCCAUGGGAGGGAGCUCCACAGCCACAUCUGGAAGUGGUGAGGGGCUGGGACUGUAGGCAGCCUCCCCACAGUCUAAGGAAGGAGUGGGGAUGCCAAUGGGGCACUGUCUAUGCACUGGACCUCGGAACCAGAGACACCAGCACCAGCUGCUGGGGAGGAUGGAGCAGUGGAUGGGGUACGUGCCUCAAACAGCUUCCAGGCCUCAGUUUCCCCACUCCAGGUUUGCUGUUGCACCAAGCCCAAUGGCUGUCGGGAGCUCUGGGUACCACGCUCGGCAUUCAGGCCUGGGGAAGGGCGAGCCGUAGCCCUGGGCAUCGUGCCGCCUCUUGGCCAGGGCACCCAAAGCCCUCUGCAGGAGUGACUCAGGCGUUAGGGAUGCAGUGCCGGGGCAGACCGUGCCCCAGGCUGAAGCCGAGCAGCGCUGGCCUGCGAGCGGUGCCAGGGACCUGCUCUGAGAGCCAUCCUGUUCCCAGCGGCAGCUCCGAGCGCUCAGCCAAGACAUCUCCAUUCCAAAAGCAGCCGUUUCUGGCAGCGCUGAGCCAGGCUCUGGCUCCCAGCCCUGGGCUGCCUCCCCCAACCUGUGCCUCCCUCUGCCACGCUGCAUCCUCCCCUCCCCCUCCCCCUCCCCUUCCCCCUCCCCCUCCCCCUCCCCUCCCCCCUGGCACCUGCGGCUCCUCCACCCCCCGGUGCCGGUGGGUCCAUCUGGGUCCGUUUGCCCUGCCCUCAGCUCCAGGUUGCCUCCCGCUCUUGGCAUCCUUCCCAGGCUCUUGGGGUACGGGGCUGAUCUUCCCGGUGCCCCCAGCGUGCUUCCAGGAGUGGGCAGAAGCCUUGCCAGGAAGGAUGUUACUCAUCCUCUAA
rnacentral:lncRNA from 1 species